CCUACGGGAGGCAGCAGUAGGGAAUUUUCGUCAAUGGGCGCAAGCCUGAACGAGCAAUGCCGCGUGAACGAGGAAGGUCUUCGGAUCGUAAAGUUCUGUUGAAGGGGAAAAAGAGCGGAGAGAGGAAAUGGUCUCCGAUUGAUAUUACCCUUCGAGGAAGUCACGGCUAACUACGUGCCAGCAGCCGCGGUAAUACGUAGGUGGCGAGCGUUAUCCGGAAUGAUUGGGCGUAAAGGGUGCGUAGGCGGCCUGCUAAGUCUGGAGUGAAAGGUACCGGCUCAACCGGUACAGGCUCUGGAAACUGGCGGGCUAGAGAGCAGGAGAGGGCGGUGGAACUCCAUGUGUAGCGGUAAAAUGCGUAGAUAUAUGGAAGAACACCAGUGGCGAAGGCGGCCGCCUGGCCUGUUACUGACACUAAGGCACGAAAGCGUAGGGAGCAAACGGGAUUAGAUACCCCUGUAGUC
rnacentral:rRNA from 1 species